UUGAGAAUAGUUAAAUUGGUAUAACAACAGGCUUUGAACUUGUUAUUCUUAGUCCGAAUCUAAGUUCUCAAG
rnacentral:tRNA from 1 species